rnacentral:rRNA from 1 species
GAGACUCUGUGCGCGUGCAUAUCAAUAAGCGGAGGAAAAGAAACUAACAAGGAUUCCCUUAGUAACGGCGAGUGAAGCGGGAAGAGCUCAAAUUUGAAAUCUUCAAGGUUCUACCUUGACGAAUUGUAGUUUAAUAGAAGUGUUUUCUGUUAGUAGAGUGGCUAAAAGUUCUUUGGAAUAGGACAUCAUAGAGGGUGAGAAUCCCGUAUUUGAUCAUUCUUUCUAGCUGUGUGAUACACUUUCAACGAGUCGGAUUGUUUGGGAAUGCAGUCCAAAAUGGGUGGUAAAUUUCAUCUAAAGCUAAAUACUGGCGAGAGACCGAUAGCGAACAAGUACCGUGAGGGAAAGAUGAAAAGAACUUUGAAAAGAGAGUUAAACAGUACGUGAAAUUGUCAAAAGGGAAGCGUUUGACACCAGUGUUGUUUUCUCGAAAAUCAAUUAAAAAUGGCCUGGAUUUUGUGUUGUAUUGACUUUAUCAGCUUUCUGCACUUUUUUCUUGUCUUUUUUAAUGCACUUUUCGUUUAACAAGUCAACAUCAGUUUCUUUUGUUGUAAAAGGGUCAUUGGAAGGUGGCUUUCUUUUCGGAGAAAGUGUUUAUAGCCUUUGAUCUCUGCAACCGGAGAGACUGAGGUCUGCAGCGUAGACUCUUCGGGGUUAGAUACAUUUGUGCUAAGCUAUAGCUUUUUAUAGACAACUUGUUGACUAUAUUUAGUCUUGUGGCUUACUCGCUUAUGCUACUUUACCUACGCUUAGGAUGUUGAACUCUAUCACACACAG